UGGGGAAUAUUGGACAAUGGGGGCAACCCUGAUCCAGCCAUGCCGCGUGAGUGAAGAAGGCCUUAGGGUUGUAAAGCUCUUUCAACGGUGAAGACGAUGACAGUAGCCGUAGAAGAAGCCCCGGCUAACUCCGUGCCAGCAGCCGCGGUAAUACGGAGGGGGCAAGCGUUGUUCGGAAUUACUGGGCGUAAAGGGCGCGUAGGCGGUCUGUUGCGUCAGGUGUGAAAGCCCUGGGCUCAACCUGGGAGGUGCACUUGAUACGGGCGGACUAGAAUCCGAGAGAGGGUGGUGGAAUUCCCAGUGUAGAGGUGAAAUUCGUAGAUAUUGGGAAGAACACCGAUGGCGAAGGCAGCCACCUGGCUCGGUAUUGACGCUGAGGCGCGAAAGCGUGGGGAGCAAACAGGAUUAGAUACCCUGGUAGUCCACGCCGUAAACGAUGUGUGCUAGCCGUCGGGCAGCUUGCUGUUCGGUGGCGCCGCUAACGCAUUAAGCACACCGCCUGGGGAGUACGGCCGCAAGGUUA
rnacentral:rRNA from 1 species